rnacentral:rRNA from 1 species
GAACGCUGGCGGCAUGCCUUACACAUGCAAGUCGAACGGUAACAGGUCUUCGGAUGCUGACGAGUGGCGAACGGGUGAGUAAUACAUCGGAACGUGCCUAGUAGUGGGGGAUAACUACUCGAAAGAGUGGCUAAUACCGCAUGAGAUCUACGGAUGAAAGCAGGGGAUCGCAAGACCUUGUGCUACUAGAGCGGCUGAUGGCAGAUUAGGUAGUUGGUGGGAUAAAAGCUUACCAAGCCGACGAUCUGUAGCUGGUCUGAGAGGACGAUCAGCCACACUGGGACUGAGACACGGCCCAGACUCCUACGGGAGGCAGCAGUGGGGAAUUUUGGACAAUGGGCGAAAGCCUGAUCCAGCAAUGCCGCGUGCAGGAUGAAGGCCUUCGGGUUGUAAACUGCUUUUGUACGGAACGAAAAGCUUCGGGUUAAUACCCUGGAGCCAUGACGGUACCGUAAGAAUAAGCACCGGCUAACUACGUGCCAGCAGCCGCGGUAAUACGUAGGGUGCAAGCGUUAAUCGGAAUUACUGGGCGUAAAGCGUGCGCAGGCGGUUUUGUAAGACAGAGGUGAAAUCCCCGGGCUCAACCUGGGAACUGCCUUUGUGACUGCAAGGCUAGAGUACGGCAGAGGGGGAUGGAAUUCCGCGUGUAGCAGUGAAAUGCGUAGAUAUGCGGAGGAACACCGAUGGCGAA